rnacentral:piRNA from 1 species
UGGAAGAAGGGCUGAUGUACAACUUUGGGU